GUGGGGAAUAUUGGACAAUGGGCGAAAGCCUGAUCCAGCCAUGCCGCGUGUGUGAAGAAGGUCUUCGGAUUGUAAAGCACUUUAAGUUGGGAGGAAGGGCAGUAAGUUAAUACCUUGCUGUUUUGACGUUACCGACAGAAUAAGCACCGGCUAACUCUGUGCCAGCAGCCGCGGUAAUACAGAGGGUGCAAGCGUUAAUCGGAAUUACUGGGCGUAAAGCGCGCGUAGGUGGUUCGUUAAGUUGGAUGUGAAAGCCCCGGGCUCAACCUGGGAACUGCAUCCAAAACUGGCGAGCUAGAGUACGGUAGAGGGUGGUGGAAUUUCCUGUGUAGCGGUGAAAUGCGUAGAUAUAGGAAGGAACACCAGUGGCGAAGGCGACCACCUGGACUGAUACUGACACUGAGGUGCGAAAGCGUGGGGAGCAAACAGGAUUAGAAACCCUGGUAGUCC
rnacentral:rRNA from 1 species